rnacentral:rRNA from 1 species
UACGGGGGGGGCAAGCGUUGUUCGGAAUUGCUGGGCGUAAAGGGCUCGUAGGUGGCCAACUAAGUCGGACGUGAAAUCCCUCGGCUUAACCGGGGAACUGCGUCUGAUACUGGAUGGCUUGAGUUCGGGAGAGGGAUGCGGAAUUCCAGGUGUAGCGGUGAAAUGCGUAGAUAUCUGGAGGAACACCGGUGGCGAAGGCGGCAUCCUGGACCGACACUGACGCUGAGGAGCGAAAGCCAGGGGAGCGAACGGG